rnacentral:rRNA from 1 species
AGUGAACGCUGGCGGCGUGCCUAAUACAUGCAAGUCGAACGAAGUGGCGCACGGGUGAGUAAUAUAUAGUUAAUCUGCCCUACACAGAGGAACAACAGUUGGAAACGACUGCUAAUACCUCAUAGUGUAGGAGGAGACUAUAUCGUAUCAGCUAGUUGGUAAGGUAAUGGCUUACCAAGGCUAUAACGCGUAACUGGUCUGCGAGGAAGAUCAGUCACAUUGGAACUGGGACACAGUCCAAACUCCUACGCGAGGCAGCAGUAAGGGAUAUUGCGAAAUGGGGGAAACCCUGAUGCAGCGACGCCGCGUGAACAAAGAAGGCUUUCGAGUCGUAAAGUACUUUUAUAUGGGAAGCGGUACCAUAAGAAAAAGCCCCGGCUAACUACGUGCCAGCAGCCGCGGUAAUAC